UACGUAGGGUGCGAGCGUUGUCCGGAAUUAUUGGGCGUAAAGAGCUCGUAGGCGGUCUGUCGCGUCGAUCGUGAAAACUUGGGGCUUAACCCUGAGCUUGCGGUCGAUACGGGCAUGACUGGAGUUCGGCAGGGGAGACUGGAAUUCCUGGUGUAGCGGUGAAAUGCGCAGAUAUCAGGAGGAACACCGGUGGCGAAGGCGGCUCGCUGGGCCAUUGCUGACGCUGAGGCGCGAAAGCGUGGGGAGCAAACAGG
rnacentral:rRNA from 1 species